rnacentral:rRNA from 1 species
AACGCCCGGACCCAUUCCGAACCCGGAAGCUAAGCCCGCCCGCGCUGAUGGUACUGCCCCCGGGAGGGGGUGGGAGAGUAAGUUACCGCCGACC